rnacentral:rRNA from 1 species
UAGAGUUUGAUUCUGGCUCAGGAUGAACGCUAGCUACAGGCUUAACACAUGCAAGUCGAGGGGAAACGGCGCGGCAGCUUGCUGCCGCGGCCGCCGACCGGCGAAUGGGUGAGUAACACGUAUCCAACCUGCCCCCAGGCAAGGGAUAAUCCAUAGAAAUGUGGCCUAAUACCUUAUGUGGUCAGACGAUGGCAUCAGACUUUGACUAAAGACUUGUCGCCUGGGGAUGGGGAUGCGCCUGAUUAGCUUGUUGGCGGGGCAACGGCCCACCAAGGCAACGAUCAGUAGGGGUUCUGAGAGGAAAGUCCCCCACAUUGGAACUGAGACACGGUCCAAACUCCUACGGGAGGCAGCAGUGAGGAAUAUUGGUCAAUGGCCGUAAGGCUGAACCAGCCAAGUAGCGUGCAGGAGGACGGCCCUAUGGGUUGUAAACUGCUUUUGUACGGGGACAAAGUGUGCAACGUGUCGCCCAUUGCGGGUACCGUACGAAUAAGGACCGGCUAAUUCCGUGCCAGCAGCCGCGGUAAUACGGAAGGUCCGGGCGUUAUCCGGAUUUAUUGGGUUUAAAGGGAGCGCAGGCCGCCUGUCAAGCGUGUUGUGAAAUGUAGGGGCCCAACCCCUGAGUUGCAGCGCGAACUGGCGGGCUUGAGUACGCACAACGCUGGUGGAACUCGCCGUGUAGCGGUGAAAUGCUUAGAUAUGGCGAAGAACUCCGAUUGCGAAGGCAGCUGGCGGGGGCGCAACUGACGCUCGUGCUAGAAAGUGCGGGUAUCGAACAGGAUUAGAUACCCUAGUAGUCCGCACGGUAAACGACUGAUGCCCCCUAUGCCCCCGUUGGGGUGCGUGGCCAAACAAAAGCAUUUAGCAUCCCCACCUGGGGAGUACGCCGGCAACGGUGAAACUCAAAGGAAUUGGCGGGGGCCCGCACAAGCGGAGGAACAUGUGGUUUAAUUCGAUGAUACGAGAGGAACCUUACCCGGGCUUGAAUUGCAGACGAAGGACCAAGAGAUUGGAAGGCCCUCCGGGGCGUCUGUGAAGGUGCUGCAUGGUUGUCGUCAGCUCGUGCCGUGAGGUGUCGGCUCAAGUGCCAUAACGAGCGCAACCCCUCUCCGUAGUUGCCAUCAGGCUAUGCUGGGCACUCUGCGGACACUGCCACCGUAAGGUGCGAGGAAGGUGGGGAUGACGUCAAAUCAGCACGGCCCUUACGUCCGGGGCUACACACGUGUUACAAUGGGUGGUACAGAGGGCAGGCGUCCGGCAACGUCCGUCUAAUCCCGAAAGCCAUCCUCAGUUCGGACUGGGGUCUGCAACCCGACCCCACGAAGCUGGAUUCGCUAGUAAUCGCGCAUCAGCCAUGGCGCGGUGAA